UAGGGUUGCAUGACCCGGAUGCAAAGUUGACCUGUAGCGGGCGGUGGUGACUUGGGUCAGUCCAGCUACAACCACCAGCAGCUAACAACACAAUGUCGUCUCGUGGUGGUGGAAAGAAAGCUACAACAGCGCCCAGGAAACAAAGCGUGGACUCUGAUGUCGAAGCAAAAUCAUCGGGCGAUAAACGGGUGGAAAAACGCCCAAGAGAACCAAAGGCGCCAGUUGCCACCAGGGGUGGUAAGGCUGCUGCUCCAAAGAAGAGUGAAAAAAAAUAAGACGCCCGUCUUGCCCGUACUAUAAUAUUUUAAAAGUUGUAUUGUCUUUAGAAAAUUUUACUGUAAUAAAGUUAUUGUUAUA